CCUUCAAGAAAAGGAAGGAGGAAAUAACAUCUUACCUUUCAAAACUAAUUUGUUUCACAUUGCUUCAUGGUGGCACCAUCGUACUGCAAGAACUGAAAAGAUAAGGCAAAGAAAAGUCAGUUGACUGAGUUUUCCAUGCAACUCUAAGAAGAAUCAAGUUUCUUCUGGCUCACCAGAGACAAAGGCAUACAUACAAAGUUUUUGAAAGAGCAUACACUGCAGUGGAAGCUGGAUGCUACCAGCCCAAGGAAGAAGAAGUCCUUGUUUCUCAGGAAGAGAAGAACACAUAAAACCAGUGUAAUUCUUGUGUUUUCUGUUGAUCUUUUCACUAUAUUGCAAAGGAAGACAUAAUAGCAACCAUCUGUGCAGCAAGAAGGACCUUAUUUCUUUUACAGGUGUAACACAAAGAAAAUAAGUCAUUACAAGCCUUGGUGAUAUUUCCAACUCUUUCUAGGCCUAAAAAGCAAGAUACUUACUUAAAU